rnacentral:rRNA from 1 species
CCUACGGGGGGCAGCAGUGGGGAAUAUUGCACAAUGGGGGAAACCCUGAUGCAGCAACGCCGCGUGAGUGAAGAAGUAUUUCGGUAUGUAAAGCUCUAUCAGUAGGGAAGAAGAAAGACGGUACCUGACUAAGAAGCCCCGGCUAAAUACGUGCCAGCAGCCGCGGUAAUACGUAUGGAGCAAGCGUUAUCCGGAUUUACUGGGUGUAAAGGGAGCGUAGGCGGUAAGGCAAGUCUGAUGUGA